rnacentral:rRNA from 1 species
GACAGAGGUGCCGAGCGUUAGGCGGAAUCACUGGGCUUAAAGCGUGUGUAGGCGGAUCGUUAAGUACCUUGUGAAAUCCCCCGGCUCAACCGGGGAACUGCUGGGUAUACUGGCGAUCUUGAGCAAUCUAGGGGCAGAUGGAACAAGUGGUGGAGCGGUGAAAUGCGUAAAUAUCACUUGGAACGCCAAAGGUGAAAACAGUCUGCUGGGGAUUUGCUGACGCUGAGACACGAAAGCCAGGGGAGCGAACGGG